UGCGAAGGGGGCUAGCGCUGCUCGGAAUUACUGGGCGUAAAGGGAGCGUAGGCGGGGUUAUCAAGUUGGAGGUGAAAGCCCAGGGCUCAACCUUGGAAUUGCCUUCAAAACUGAUAGCCUAGAGUAUGAUAGAGGUAAGUGGAACUCCGAGUGUAGAGGUGAAAUUCGUAGAUAUUCGGAAGAACACCAGUGGCGAAGGCGACUUACUGGAUCAUGACUGACGCUGAGGCUCGAAAGCGUGGGGAGCAAACAGG
rnacentral:rRNA from 1 species